rnacentral:rRNA from 1 species
UACGUAGGGUGCGAGCGUUAAUCGGAAUUACUGGGCGUAAAGCGUGCGCAGGCGGCUUCGCAAGUCAGACGUGAAAUCCCCGGGCUUAACCUGGGAAUGGCGUUUGAAACUACGGAGCUGGAGUGUGGCAGAGGGAGGUAGAAUUCCACGUGUAGCGGUGAAAUGCGUAGAGAUGUGGAGGAACACCAGUGGCGAAGGCGACUCUUUGGUCUGUAACUGACGCUGAGGCGCGAAAGCGUGGGGAGCAAACAGG